AAUAUCCAAUGAUAACAACACUGAGUACCUGCACACUUAAAGAAUAGGAUACAGGGUUUCUUGGUAGGUUCCAUAUCACCUGAAAAAGCAGCAUUUCCUGUGUGAAUACCAGGAAGAGGAGGCAUUAGAGGUCUGUGGAGCCAGGGAUUGCAGCCUUCAGCAUUAAGCAGCCUCUGCUGUUCCCUAAAAAGCAGCAGUGAUCAUUGAAGCUUCAGGGAAAGAGAAAAGAACUGACAGUGAAUUAGACAGUGGUAGUGAUAAGAAUAUACAAGACUUGCUGUGCUGCACAGAACUCCUGUGAUGAUGAGGGAGAUAUCUGUGGACUGAUUCCACUUUUGGCCCAGGUUUCCAUCAUCUCAAGAUUCGUGUGAGGAGCCAUCCCCUUAUGAACAG